rnacentral:rRNA from 1 species
ACCUAUGGCCAUACCACCCUAGGAACACCCGAUCUCAUCUGAUCUCAGCAGCAAAGCAGGGUUGGGCUCGGUUAGUACUCGGAUGGGAGACCGCCUGGGAAUCCCAGAUGCUGUAGUCU